UGCAAAUUAGAUGCAGAAAAAAGUACGAAGGGAGUAAGAUGCGUUACGUCAAAGAAGUUUUAUACAGAAAAAUGCACUUAAAUGUGGUCGAUUUUGAUUAUUGCAAACACCGAGAAGGUACCGAUACUUCCCUAGAAUCUUAAUAGGCAAAUUAGCUGAUGCGUGAUGUAGCUCAAACGAAAUCAAAAUUAAUUCAGGUGUAAAAUUAUGAACACAACAAAUCGAGGACACCAGUUAGAAUGGUGUCCUCGAGGAUCAAGAAAGUGCUUUAUAAUUCUGAAAUGUAUGAAAAUAUUACAGACGUAACGGCCCGUACAUGGAAGGAAACGUUUGUUUUGAGUCAAAGGUAAGAAAAUUGAUAAGGAUGUGGAGAAGCAAAAUUUUGUAAUAGUCCAUGGACGAGGAUCACUACAAGAAGCGAAUGGAUAGUAUUGUAGCUUGAUGAUCCAUUUAAGAGCGUACCAAAGUCAACUUUCUAUGAAAAUUUGACUCCUGAAAAUUGAAUUUUCUAACCCAGUUUCCAAGAAAUCUUGUAGAUAGGUAAUAAGCGAAGUAUGAAUGUUAUCAAUGCACCAUUGAUGUUUCUUAGAUGAAGUAUCACAUGUCAUACUUCGCCUAUGAGGUACAGUACGUGCUUCAUAUGUGAAGUAGGCUAUUACAUCCAAACUAUGCCAAAUACAUGUCACUUAACCAUUCAUUUAUAACAAUAGCCGAAACAGUACUAUCAUAGAUCAGACUAUUCGAUUUGAUACGAUGGGUCGCCAGUACAAGCAUGGUUCCUUUGACUUUUUUGUUCCUAUCGAUAUUCUCUACAGGUCUAUUAAAGUCCCAAUCGCGUCAUUCGGUCCUAGAACUGGUACCAUUGGGGAAUCAAGUAAACGUU